UAAUACCGGUUCUCGUUAGAUCACCGAAGUUAAGCAUCAUUGGGCGCGGUCAGUACUUGGGUGGGUGACCACCUGACACUGCGUGCCGU